CCUUGCUGGCCAGAGGGCCAGCAGAGCAGUUCCAGGAGGAGUGUACUGCUGAUACUGAACCCUUCUACUGGGAUCUCAGAGAAGGGAGUGCUUGCUUGCUGCUCUCAGGUACAUCUGGCUGCGCCACAGCACUCUGGAACCUCCCAUGUAUCCAUGGAAAAGUCAAGACUCUUAGGGGGCACUGUGGCUACAGGCCCUGCCUCUAACCCCGGCCUCAUUACUGACCAUGCCAUAGGAAUGUAGUUGGCCCUGUGAUUCCCACAGGGAACUCCUUGGAUCCCAUUGCUUCUAUAAAAGAGAUGCUGGCUUUGUGCUACACAUCCCUGAGGCAGGAGUCUAGAGUCAUCCUUGGUUUCUCUGUUCAGGGAGGCGGCCAAUGCUGGGGAAGUUGAGGCUGGAACUUUCCGGGUAGAAUUGGAAGAAGAAUUUCCAGGCUGGUGCAGCACCAUGGCCUUUAUAUAACCUUCCAGUGUGUUAGUUCUCAGGAGUGGAGAUUAGAAAUGAGACAAAAGACUGUGAAAGAUGGCUUAGCAAUUACAAGACCAUACUAUUCUCAAAGAGGACUCAAGUUCAGUUCCCAGGACCCAUGUAGGAUGGUUCACAGCAGCCUAAGACUCCAUAGACACCUGUACUCACGUGCAGCACAUCACUCCACUCCUGCCCGCACCCCUACCCCUACCUCUACACAAUUUUAAUUUAAAGCUGGAUGCAUGCUUUUAAUCUUAGCACAUAGGAGGCAGAAGCAAGUGGACUUGAGGCCAGCCUGAUCUACAUAUCAAACGUUAGGCUAGCCAGGGCUACAAGUGAGACCAUCUCCAAAUAAAUAAAAUAAGUAAUCUUUUUUUAAUAAAAGAAGUGAUAAAAGUGGAAGAAAUGAAGUGAAAUUGAAGUGGAGAUGGACAAUGUGUUUGUACAAGUAUAUGAAAGCACAGAUUUCAGGAGCCGAGGACUGCUCUGUGCAUGGAUAAAAUGCAUUAGUUUUUCUUUUCCAAGCUUUGUUGAGAUUGAAUUAAGGUGUAUCAAAUUCACUCACUGGAGGUGUAUAAUUCAGUCAUGCAGUGUAGUGUUAGAGAAUUUACACAAGUUUGUAGGCAUUAGCAGUCACACUUGGUUUGCCCGGCACCAGCUACUGCUUGUCUACUUCCCCAUUCGAGCCUGCCUUUCAGCAUAGUCAGCAUGAUGUGGUUUGUGCAACGUCUUUCACAUAGCACAGUCUUGUCAGGGUUCGUACACGAACUAUGCUGUAGUGCGUACCUGAUUCCUUUUUCUUCUUUUCAAGGCAAGAUUUCAUGGUAUAGACUAGGCUGGCCUCAACAGAGAUCACCUGCUUCUGUAUUAAAGGCAUGUGCCUUCUUUGUUGAGUUAUAGUCCAUCCUGAAUGGCCGUAUCAUCUUCUGUACAUUGGUGAAUGGGUUAGUCUUCAUUUGAGUGGUUUUCAUUUUGGGUCUAUCAAUGAGUAAUGACUUAUUUAAAGUACUCCUAUACUAGGGGGUUUUGUUGUUUUUGUUGUUGUUGAGACAGGAUUUUUUUGUUUAGCCCAGGCUGUCCUGGAACUCAUUCUGUAGGUCAGGCUGGCCUUUAACUCAGAGAUCUGCCUGCCUCUGCCUCCCGAGUGCUGGGAUUAAAGGCGUGAGCUACCACACCACUUGCUUUCAUCUACUAGGUUUUGUUUGUUUGUUUUUAAGAUCUAUUUCAUUGGGAAAACAAAAAACUCCGUACAUACUUGAGGUUUGAGUUUCUAAACUGUUUUCUGGAGUAGCUGUGUUAAGAACACCAAGGAGCCGAUUCUGAUGCUGUCACACUAGGGUCUCUUUUAUUCAAGUUCGGGCUUACUUAAUGCCAACUCUGAUGCAGCAGGACCAGCAGGUGAAGCCCUGGGCCCUCACCGUGACAAGGUUGUGUAGGAAGUGGGGAGCAAGCAUAGGGUGUCCAGCCUGGCAAACAUCUAACUGAAGGACUACUGUAAGCCAGUAGUGCUCUGGAGCAAGGCCAUGAAUAAUCACAAACGUCUGAAAGUGCAUCUGAAACAAGCAGACUAAUUUUGAUUGACUGUUGCCAGGGAAUAGCUAGGGAGUGACUCUGGGGUAUGGGCCAAGGACAAGCCAUGGGGUCCAUCCUGGUACCUGGUGCAGCUUAGGUUCAGCUGCAGGCCAAGUUCUUAGGAGACCAGUCCCAAGAUGGAGUAGGUUUGUCCUCUAAGCUGCAUGGAGUCUACCAGCAGCAUAAGGCUCUGUUGCCCCCAACAUUCGCCAUUGUCUUUGCUAUGUGUGUGAGAAGUGGUUGCCAGUACUUCUGAUUGCUGUUUGUCUGUGUAGUGAUGAUGUCACAUGUCUGUAGUGCUUUUGAGCGGUUUGUAAACAUUCUGUGGUAAAAUGUCCAUUUUUAUCCUUAGGUCAUUUUUUAAUUAAGUUAUUGAUCUUUUUAGUAAUUUUUUACAUAUUUGGAUAUCUAGAUCAUAUAAUUUGCAAAUAUCUGGGAGAUGGAAUAUUUUUAUUGUUUAGGUCUCUGUGUGUGUGUGUGUGUGUGUGUGUGUGUGUGUGUGUGUGUGUGUGUGUGUGUGUGUUUGAUGUCACUGCUGUUACCAGGAACUCUAUCACUGAGGUAUAUCCCCAGCCCUAUUAUGACUUUCCUUUUGUUUUUGAGAUAUGGUUUGUUUCUCCAUGUAACCCUCAUUGUCUUGGAACUUGCUAGGUAGAGCAGGCUGGCCUCAUUUUACAGAAAUCUGUUUGCUUGUCUCCUGAGUGCUAGGAUUAAGGUCGUAGGCUACAGUUAAAGGAAUUUUGGUAGAGACUUAAUUGAAUGAAGUUGGAUGUAAUGAUGCACACCUUUAAUCUUAGUACUUGGGAGGCAGAGGCCGGUGGUUUUCUGUGAGUUUGAAGCCAGUUUGGUCUACAUAGUGAGUUCCAGGACGGCUGGUGCUGUAAGUGCUUGGGACUAUGGGGUUCCGGGUAGGGACUGAUAGGCAGGACCAGAUGGCAUCAACAACAAAAACCUUACUUGAAUCAUUUAUUUCCAAAAUGUAAGUUUUAUUGAUUCAGCUUGCUUAUCAGUCUAAAGCUUGGUGUCUUAAAGGAGUAACCCUUUGGUUCUCCUGAGUCUGUGAGUCUGAAGUUGGGUUGGCACUUCUCCUUGUCUUACUUCUGAUUUCUUGUGGCUGCUUUAGGGGUUGGGCUGGGCUGGGCUCAAAGGUCCAUUGAAGGCUUCGCUCAUGAUUGUAUGCUCCUUUAACCUACGUAGCUUUCACGGGGUCACUAGUGACAUAACUGAGACUCCAUUACAUCGCUGUGUUUGUGUUUCUGAGGGAAGAGAUGGAAGCUUCUGGUCUUCAGAAGGUCCUAGAACAUUCUCUGUAUACUAGCAGUUUAAGACCAGUGCAGGAGGUUCAGAGAAAAGAUGCCUCUGCCUUUGGUGUGAUCAGUAUCCUGUUUGGACCAGGGAGUACAGUGACUCUUGCAUGGCCACCACAGAGACUGGCCAUCUCAGAGAGCUUUCCAGUGUCUGAUGAAUAGGCCAUAGAUACCAAAGCAGGAGCUAGAGCUCAGCCUCUCACCAGUGCAGUUCACUCCGCCUUGUCUGUGAGUCACAGCCUAUUGACUGUUGGAAGUAGUGCCUUGAUGAUACAUCUUUUCAAGCUGCUGUCUCUACCUCCCUGACUCCACAAGGAGGCCCCGACUAACUGGAAGAGAGCAGUUUGUAAGAGCAGUGUUGACCAGCCUGUAUUUUUAUGUCUUGAUUUUUUUUGAGACAGGUACUCACCGUGAAACUUUUGACUAGCCUGAAACUCACAGAGAUCGCCUGCCUCUACCUUCCAAGUGCUGGGAUUGAGGACGUGUACCCCAUGCCUGGAGGUCUCUGUAGUUUUCUAGACAGUAUGUGUGAGCACUGACAUCUGAGCGCCCUCUUUUUACCUGCUCUUCCCCAUGGAGGUCAAUGCCUAUUAUGGUAGUGAGAACCUUUCUAGUUAUGGAAGAAGGGAAUGGUCUUGCCUUGAAAUCCUGACAAGCAUGCAGGUCCAGAAGCACCCACACCUGAAGGAAGCCAGGAUUUCAUUAAUCACUCUGGCUGUUCAGUGUAGACUCAGGAGAGCCAUGAAUGUUCUUGUCUGGAAGUGUGUACCAAACUUUUGCUCGGUGGUAGGCACAGGCCUCCACUGUGUGGGCUUGUGUGUAAAGUUCUCCUCAGGCUUCAUGAUUCAUUUACAGAAUCUAAAGUGAUGUGCAUGAUAAAUCCAUAUCAUCAGUACUUAAAAUAUUCGAGCCCACCUGACUCCUCACUCAGCCCUAGAGUAUUCAGUGGUAGAUUAGUCACUUAUUGUGAUGCUGUGACAAAAUGCCUUACAGGAAGCAACUUGUGGAGGAAAGGGUUUAUUUCACCUUACAGUUGAAGGUACAGUCCAGCAUAACCAGAAUGUCAUGGCGGCAUAAGGCACGUCGCAGCUUCAGUCAGGAACCAGCAGUGCUGGCACUCAGCUACCUAGCUGUUUUUAAUGCAGUCCAGGACACCAGCCCAAGGAAAAGUGCUGCCUACCUACAGUACAGCCGAGAGGGCCUUUCUGCUUCCCUUAACCUGGUCUAGAUGAGCACUCAGAGACAUGUGCACAGAGGUGCCUCUCGGGUGAGUCCUACUUUUAUCAAUAGUGACCAUCCUACAUAGUUACAGGGCAACUCAGAUUCUAACUCCCUACCCAGGCUAGUGGACAGUGGGGAUGUUUGGGUGUCAGGGCUGACAAUCUUGGCCAUGUCUCUUACUAUCUUCCAUCUACCGAAGCACAAAAUAUUCAGGUCCACUCAUCCUUGAUGUCCUUAAUACCCGUGUGUUGGACUGCUCUCGGUCUAAAGGAGGUUAAGAGAGAAAGGACAGUUGAGGUCUGGGGCGAUGGGCCAUGUUAGUAAUGGCAGCUUCAUACACUCCGACCUGCCUUGCGUUCACUGAAUGAGAAGGCAUCAGGUGUGCAUAGCAGGAAUCGUAGCACGCAGUCUAGAGAACAAGACUGGAAAGAACAAGCAAAAAGCCUGAGGUCCAGCUUCCUGUGCCAUUUGAACAUAUCUUUCCCUAUUCCACUUUUUUGCCCAGAGUUGAGACACUGGAAAUGCUCUGUGAAAGAAUUGAGAAAAACAGGCCUAGGUUAGGUGUGAACCACAUGAAAAGAUUUGUGGGGGAGGGGGGUUGCUGUUUGGUUUUAUUUGUUUGUUUGUGACAAGUCUCUAUAUAGCUGGAACUGGAACUCACCGUGUAGACCAGGCUGGCCCUACCUCUAUCUCCUACGCACUGGGAUUAAAGUCAUAUACCAUCAGACCGGGUUUUGUGGGGGUUUUUUGUUUUUUUAUUUUUUUAUUUUUUUAAUUUUAUUUUGAGGCAGAGUCUCAUAUUAGGCUAGUCUCAAUAAUUCAGAAAUAAGUUCUUAUAUUUAGCAUUAUUUUAUUGACAUGAAUGUCAAAAGAAUUUCAUGCAGAAGAGUGGCCCUUUUAGCAAAUCGUGCUGUGACAACUGGAUUGCCAUAUAUAUAUAUAGGAUACUGGUUUAGACCUUAGCUUCAUUUGGUGUACAGAAAUCAGCUCUUCGUGGCCAUUGAGAUGGGUUAGUGGGUAAGGACAUUUGCUGCCAGGCCUAAUGACCUGAGUUUACUCUGAGGAACUCGAAUGGACCUAGAAAGAACAUAAAAGGGACCCUACCACAUGCCAGAAUGAAACUGGUUAACUUCUGAUGCAGGGACUGCUGUCUAGCUAAAUCUAGUUUACUCCUUCCAAUUUCCUAUUUCCCUUUACACUGGAUUUAACAGUUGUUUCAUUAGGAAUGUUUUUAUUAUCUGUAUAUUUAUUUUACUAAAAUAUAUUAGAUCAGAUCAUUCCAUAACUUAUACUACUUGCAGAAAUUAUGACUUGGAUAAACAAUCUUUAAAGAUAAUAAAAUAUCUAUCAUAUUUUUAAAAGAGGUUCAGUCACUCUUGGCUAUGUAAUAACCAGAAGCUGUUAUCUAACUCAAGACCACAAGGAUUUAUACCUACAUUUCCUUCAGAGACCAAGGUCAUAAAUUCAGACUCACCCACCUACCCACCCCCUUGAGACAGGAUUUCCCUGUGUAGUCCUGGCAGUUCUAGAACUAGCUCCAUAGACCAGACUGGCCUUGAACUCAGAGAUCCAAAAAGAAAUUUAUUCAAAAAACAGCACUUAUGGAAAGCUCCAUAUUUCUCUUCAACUACCUGGAAAAAGUGAGACUCCCUUAAUUUAAAUUCUAUAAAUCAAAAUAAUCUUUCAUUUAAAAAAUUUAAAAAUAAUAGAAAAGCACUAGUCAUAAGUAGAACACAUUUUCAAUCCUAGCAUCAGGAGGCAAAGUCAGGCAGCCUCUGAAUGGCCUGCCUGGUCUACAGAGUGAAAUCCAGAACAGCCAGCCAGGGCUCCAUAGACUGUCUUAUAACAAAAAAUUGUAGUGAGUUUCAGGGAAAUCAGGGCUACAUAGAAGGAUAGAAGGGGUCUCUCUCUCUCUCUCUCUCUCUCUCUCUCUCUCUCUCUCUCUCUCUCUCUCUCUCCCCCUCUUUCUCCCCCUCUCUCUCAGAAAAAAAAAGGGGCAGAAAGGGGCUUGAGAGCAGCAGAGGAUCUGAGUUCAGUUCCCCCCUCCCAUACUGGGUGGCUCACGACCGCCUACAACUCCGGUUCCAGGUGAUGUCAUAUUCUCAUCUGGCUCCCAUGAGCACCUGUCUGUGUACACAUAAACACAGAGAGACACAUAAUGUAAGAUGAGGGUUUUGAGAAGGAGCUCAGUGAUUAAGAGCACACAGUGCUCCUGCAGAAGAUCUGAGUUCAGUUCCCAGCAUCCACAUCAGGCAGUUCCAACCACCUGUUAUAACUCUAGCCCCAGAAAGACAGUACCCUCUUCUGUCUUCAUCUGGCACUGCACUCGUGCACCACCCUUCACAUGUACACAUUUUAAAAAUAAAAUCAGAUAUUAUGCGUUCUUUUGGGACUUAGUAAUAAUAGGAGGCAAGGUGACAGUAAUUUAAAAAACAGUCUAUUUCCUUUUUUUUUCCUCUUCCGGGGACGGUGCUUAGGGGCACUCAGGAUGGUCCAGCGUUUGACAUACCGUCGUAGGCUUUCCUACAAUACAGCCUCUAACAAACUAGGCUGUCUCGAACCCCUGGCAACAGGAUCGUUUACCUUUACACCCAGAAGGUUGGGAAAGCACCUAAAUCCGCGUGUGGCGUGUGCCCAGGCAGACUGCGAGGGGUUCGUGCUGUGAGACCCAAAGUCCUUCUGAGAUCGUCUAAGACAAAGAAGCAGGUCAGCAGGGCCUAUGGUGACUCCAUGUGCGCCAAGUGUGUCCAUGACAGGAUCAAGUCGGCUUUCCUUAUUGAGGAGCAGGAAAUCGUCGUGAAGUGUUGAAGGCACAAGCACAGAGUCAGAAAGCAAGUAAAUGGGCGACUUUUUUAAGUAAUAAAAAUCAAGACUUGGUCUACGAAAAAAAAAAACAGUCUAUUUGAUGUGCUCCCCCAUAUUGUGGAUUGAACCUAGGGUCAGCCAGAGGGACUAGUGACAAUAUAUACUGGAAUCCAGUUGCUCCUGCUGCCUAGUGAUCCUUAGCUGGUGUGACAACUCUAGGGGGAAGACAUUUCCUUAAGGAAUGGCGUCACCCCCUUUGGACAGUCGCUUUUGUCAGCCCCCUUCCCAGACACCUGGUCAGGCCCUGCAUCCCAACCUUUACCUUCUGAACCUCUGUGUUUACUUCUGAGUGCUGGGUCCCAGGUUUACGUGACCACACUAGUUUGUGCAGUGCUGGUGAUUAAAGCCAAGGCUCUGUGCAUUAGGCAUGUGCUGUACUAUAAUCAGGCUACAUCCCUAGCUGUAGACAACAGCUUUAUAGCUGCAAUUCCAAAAGCACAAGCAACAGAAGAAAACAGGCAAUUCUGACUGCGAGUGGUAAAGGCAGCUGCCAAGCCUGAUCAACUUUAGUUCUAUCCCUGCCACCCACAUGGCAGGAGAGAACCAGUUCCUGCAAGUUGUUCUCUGACCUCUACUUGCAUGUGUGUACCAUGUCCACUCUACAUAUAAAGUUAAUCAAAAUACAAACUUUCUGUGGAUUAUAGGACACAUUAAAAGAAUAAAAGAACAACUCCUGGCGUAGCAGAAAAUAUGAAUAAUAUUUGAUAAGGGUUGACUCUAUAUAAACAACCCUAAAAAUAGGCAAAGGAUUUGAGUAGAUAGUCCCACACUAAGGUAUAAAAUGGCCAAUGUGCACAUGAAGAGCUAUUCACUACCACUUAUGUCAAAGGCUAGUGAGAUGGCUCAGUGGGUAAACACUGGUAAAAGCCGUGCAAGAGAACCAACUUGUAAAAGUUGUCCUUGACCCUCACACAUGUGCAGUGACACAAGGUGCCCACACACAUGUCAUAGAUACGCACAUGCACACAUAAUAGAUAAAGUAAGUUAGAAAAAUAAACACUGUGAGAGGUAGACAUAAUGACAUACUCUUAGAAUUCUAGCACUCGGGAGACUGAGUUGGGAGGAGUGCCACAAGUUCAAGGCCAGUCAAGGAUUCUGAGAUAGUGAGACCCUGCCUCAAACAAACAAAACUCCAAACCUUAGUGAGAUACCAGUUCACACCUAUUAUGAUGGCUGUGAUUUUUUAGAAUAUUUAUUUAUUAUACAUAAAUACACUGUAGCUGUCUUUAGACACACCAGAAGAGGGCGUCAGAUCUCAUCACAGAUGGUCGUGAGCCACCGUGUGGUUGCUGGGAUUUGAACUCAGGACCUCUGGAAGAACAGUCAGUGCUCUUAACCACUGAGCCAUCUCUCCAGCCUGAUUUUUUUUUUUUUUAAGAAAAUGUAUAGCUGGAAGUGAUAUAUCUGUACUCUCUGUUACUUGGGACCUGUUGUAGGAUGACUUUAGACAAGCAUGGUAAUGUUAUAAGACCCCUGUUAGAAAAUACAAAAGACAGGAAGCAGUGUUAACAAAAUAUAGGGAAAACAGAGCUCUCAUCCAUUGCUGUAAAGUACUGCAGCUGUUAUGAAAAACACCAUAGUGAUUUCUCAAAGGAUGAUGACCCACUCUAUGUAUGUACUCUUAGGUAUUACUUAGCAUAAAUGAAACAUGUCCAUUAGAACCUUGUACUGAUGUGUCUAAAGUGGAGGGGCUGGAGAGGUGGUCUUAGUGUUCAAGAGCAUUGUCUGUUCCUCCAGAGGACCAGGGCUCAUUCCCACAUCCUCUGGUGUAUCGCAACACUGGUAACUCCAAUUCCAGGGCAUGUAAUGCCCACUUCUAGCCACCUUAGUCACUGCACGCACUUGGUGCAUAGAUAGACAUGCAGGCAAGAUACCCAUACAGAAACUAAAGUAGUAACCUCUUAAAGCCCAAAGUAGGGACAACUCAAAUGCCUAUCAGCUGAUGGGUUGAUAAACAGAAUAUGUCCACAUCUAGCAAUAUUGUCUGACCAUUUAAAGUAUGAAAUGUUCAUGCUAACACAAAGUGAGUCUUUUUUUCCGGAGCUGAGGACUGAACCCAGGGCCUUGCGCUUGCUAGGCAAGCGCUCUAUCACUGAGCUAAAUCCCUAACCCCCACAAAGUGAGUCUUAAUAACUUGAUAAACAGUCUGUAUGUGAAGUAGAACAGGCACAAAGGACUGAAUUUUGAGCCUUUUGAAGUCUGCAUUUGAGUGGUGGCACCACACACAUUUAAUCCCAGCACUUAGGGGGCUGGGGAUUUAGCUCAGUGGUAGAGCGCUUAGCUUACCCUGGGUUCGAUCCCCAGCUCCGAAAAAAAGAACCAAAAAAAAAAAAAAAAAUCCCAGCA